rnacentral:misc_RNA from 1 species
UCCGAGUUGACCCCGGCAGUCUCCUGCGAGUCCCCGCCAUUACGCGCUGGCAACACAGGACAAGGGUUGCGCUCGUUGCGGGACUUAACCCAACAUCUCACGACACGAGCUGACGACAACCAUGCAGCACCUGUCUCACGGUUCCCGAAGGCACCCCUCGAUCUCUCAAGGGUUCCGUGGAUGUCAAGGCCAGGUAAGGUUCUUCGCGUUGCAUCGAAUUAAACCACAUGCUCCACCGCUUGUGCGGGCCCCCGUCAACUCCUUUGAGUUUCAGCCUUGCGGCCGUACUCCCCAGGCGGGGCACUUAAUGCGUUAGCUGCGACACCGAAGGGGUCGUCCCACCGGCAUCUAGUGCCCAUCGUUUACGGCGUGGACUAC